GCUGGGAUUACAGGCGUGAGUCAAGGUGCCGGGUUUCUUUUGCGUUUUAAGUCACUUUGUGCCAUUCUAUGCCUUUCCUCCCUCCAACUUUGUUAUUUCUUAUGUGUUAGAUCUGCUUCCACCACAGACUUGUAGAUUACAGGUCUCUUUGAGGGCAGAAAAUAUGUGUUACCCGUUGAAUACCCAGAAGACACUGUACAAGUUAGUCACAUGGUAGGGUCUCCUUCUGUCAUUAAGACUGGAUUGCAGUGACACAAUUACAGCUCGCUACAGUUUCGGCCUCCCAGACUCAAGCCAUCCUUCCACCUCAGCCUCCCGAGUAGCUGGGGUCACAGGUUGCCUAUGGAGAGCUACAAAUUGAAGAGUUUCUUAAUCAGCCCACAGUUGACUUGAUUCCCAGACACAGACAACAUGAGUUUAAUUAUCUGGAGACAUUUCAGAGGAUGUUGAUGUUUCAUGAUGGGAAAACGGCUACUUCUACAAAGAACUGAGCUUUCUGAAUAGACAGAAGGUCAUUCCUGUGAGCACUGUAUAUUUUGCCAACAAAAUUAGACUGAUCAGUUAAGAAGGAGUAUGCCUUAAUUGUUAAGAAUAUAGGAUCAGGCAGUCUGAGUUCUGAGUUCAAAAUCCUAACCUUACUCUUACCAACCAAGUGCCCAUUGAGAACAGGAUCAUAACAAGUGGGUGAAAUGAUUAGCAUGACAAUGCCUAGAUGAUAUGAUAUUGUAAAUAUUCAAUAUGAUGUAAUUAAUUGUCCAAUAUCAAUUGAGUGCAUACCAUGUGGAUACAAGGAGAACAAGAAGAUGAAGUCUUUCUCAUUGGGAAGCUCACAUCUUAGUGACCCUCCAAAAUUAAUAUAUCUAAAGACUAAGUACGGUGCCAAACACAAAGUAAUUGCUAUCUACACUGUUAUUCAUGCAAAUGGUUAAAUCAGUGCACCCCCUCCCAAUCAUGGAUUAUUCUCAUAUUACAGAUCACUCUUAUAUUAUACCUCCCUCCAGACAGUAAAUGGAAAUCUGCACUCCUAGAAUUUUGUGUUGUUAUUCUUUUUUUUUUUUGGAAAAGAAGUUUUGCUCUUGAUACCCAGGCUGGAGUGCAAUGGCGCGA